CGUCGAUUCACAAGGUAGUCAAAGAAAAUCUUCAUAAAACCAGAACAGACCACGACGCCUACAAUGGAAACCUACAAAGACGAGGGAUUGUGUAAAGAGGCAAGUCGACCAUAGCAAAACCAGAACAAAGCAAAAAGUCAAUUCAGCUUGAAUGAAACCUGAGGUUCAAGUCAGAUUGUGAAUAUUAGUAUUUCGGUGUGAUCUUAGGACGUCGCUUUAAAUUUCAUCUAGGUAAGUCUGAAAUCAAAGCUUUUCAGAGCAGCUAAUGUUUAAUACAGGUUGUUGGCUCAACUCACUGCUUUUAAUUUGCCUUCGAUGCCCUUUUGUUGACGAAGGUAAACUGAUGACAGUUUAGAAAAGCCAGCUCUCAGCCAUGUGGAAAAGAAAAAAAAAAAAAGAUGCGUUGACCCUUCCUAGAUUGAAUUUAGCACAAGGCUGGAUAGCAGCAGUUGCAGACAUGAUGGAUUAUUGUAAUGACCACCUCCACGGCCUUUUUGUCAUGUUUAAAUGGCAAUAAAUUUAAACAGAAAGCGCAAACCAUGUGUUUGAUGUGUAAGUAAAAUGUACUUCAUCAACCAUGCGCAUAUUAAAGUAUUGCUAAAUUGCAAAAUUGGGUAGGCUUAUGUUUAAUCUUUACUAAUAUUUAUUCAAUGUAGUUUCUAAUGUUAAGUGAAAAACAUAAAAAUUG